CAGUGGGGAAUCUUGCGCAAUGGGCGAAAGCCUGACGCAGCGACGCCGCGUGUGGGAAGAAGGCCUUCGGGUUGUAAACCACUUUCAGGAGGGAAGAAGCGAAAGUGACGGUACCUCCAGAAGAAGGUCCGGCCAACUACGUGCCAGCAGCCGCGGUAAUACGUAGGGACCGAGCGUUGUCCGGAAUUAUUGGGCGUAAAGAGCUCGUAGGCGGUUCUUUAAGUCGGAUGUGAAAUCUCAGGGCUUAACCCUGAAACCGCACCCGAUACUGGAGAACUUGAGGCAGGUAGGGGAGAUCGGAAUUCCUGGUGUAGCGGUGAAAUGCGCAGAUAUCAGGAGGAACACCGGUGGCGAAGGCGGAUCUCUGGGCCUGUUCUGACGCUGAGGAGCGAAAGCGUGGGGAGCAAACAGGAUUAGAUACCCUGGUAGUCCACGCCGUAAACGAUGGGUGCUAGGUGUGGGAGAUAAUCCACUUCUUCCGUGCCGCAGCUAACGCAUUAAGCACCCCGCCUGGGGACUACGGCCGCAAGGCUAAAACUCAAAGGAAUUGACGGGGGCCCGCACAAGCGGCGGAGCAUGUGGCUUAAUUCGAAGCAACGCGAAGAACCUUACCAGGGCUUGAAAUAUACGGAAAAACCAUGGAAACAUGGUGUGUUUCGGCGUCGUAUACAGGUGGUGCAUGGUUGUCGUCAGCUCGUGCCGUGAGGUGUUGGGUUAAGUCCCGCAACGAGCGCAACCCUUAUCCUAUGUUGCCAGCGCGUAAUGGCGGGGACUCAUGGGAGACUGCCGGUGUCAAACCGGAGGAAGGUGGGGACGACGUCAAAUCAUCAUGCCCCUUAUGUCCUGGGCUGCACACAUGCUACAA
rnacentral:rRNA from 1 species